rnacentral:rRNA from 1 species
ACGAACGCUGGCGGCGUGCCUAAUACAUGCCAGUAGAACGCUGAAGAGAGGAGCUUGCUCUUCUUGGAUGAGUUGCGAACGGGUGAGUAACGCGUAGGUAACCUGUCUUGUAGCGGGGGAUAACUAUUGGAAACGAUAGCUAAUACCGCAUAACAAUGGAUGACACAUGUCAUUUAUUUGAAAGGGGCAAUUGCUCCACUACAAGAUGGACCUGCGUUGUAUUAGCUAGUAGGUGAGGUAAUGGCUCACCUAGGCGACGAUACAUAGCCGACCUGAGAGGGUGAUCGGCCACACUGGGACUGAGACACGGCCCAGACUCCUACGGGAGGCAGCAGUAGGGAAUCUUCGGCAAUGGGGGCAACCCUGACCGAGCAACGCCGCGUGAGUGAAGAAGGUUUUCGGAUCGUAAAGCUCUGUUGUAAGUCAAGAACGGGUGUGAGAGUGGAAAGUUCACACUGUGACGGUAGCUUACCAGAAAGGGACGGCUAACUACGUG